rnacentral:rRNA from 3 species
UUUACCAGAAGUAGUUAGCCUAACCGCAAGGGGGGCGAUUACCACGGUAGGAUUCAUGACUGGGGUGAAGUCGUAACAAGGUAGCCGUAUCGGAAGGUGCGGCUGGAUCACCUCCUUUC